rnacentral:rRNA from 1 species
UACGGGGGGGGGGCAAGCGUUUGUUCGGAAUUACUGGGCGUAAAGGGCUCGUAGGCGGCCAACUAAGUCAGACGUGAAAUCCCCUCGGCUUAACCGGGGGAACUGCGUCUGAUACUGGAUGGCUUGAGUUUGGGAGAGGGAUGCGGAAUUCCAGGUGUAGCGGUGAAAUGCGCAGAUAUCAGGAGGAACACCGGUGGCGAAGGCGGGUCUCUGGGCCGAUACUGACGCUGAGGAGCGAAAGCGUGGGGGAGCAAACAGG